UACGUAGGGGGCAAGCGUUGUCCGGAUUUAUUGGGCGUAAAGAGCGUGUAGGCGGCCGUACAGGUCAGCUGUGAAAACUCGAGGCUCAACCUCGAGACGUCGGUUGAAACCGUACGGCUAGAGUCCGGAAGAGGAGAGUGGAAUUCCCGGUGUAGCGGUGAAAUGCGCAGAUAUCAGGAGGAACACCGGUGGCGAAGGCGGGUCUCUGGGCCGAUAUUGACGCUGAGGAGCGAAAGCGUGGGGAGCAAACAGG
rnacentral:rRNA from 1 species